AUUGAACGCUGGCGGCAUGCCUUACACAUGCAAGUCGAACGGCAGCACGGGAGCAAUCCUGGUGGCGAGUGGCGAACGGGUGAGUAAUAUAUCGGAACGUGCCCAGUAGUGGGGGAUAACUGCUCGAAAGAGCAGCUAAUACCGCAUACGACCUGAGGGUGAAAGGGGGGGAUCGCAAGACCUCUCGCUAUUGGAGCGGCCGAUAUCAGAUUAGCUAGUUGGUGGGGUAAAGGCCUACGAAGGCAACGAUCGGUAGUUGGUCUGAGAGGACAACCAGCGACACUGGGGCGGAGACACGGCUCAGACUCCUACGGGAGGCAGCAGUGGGGAAUUUUGGACAAUGGGCGCAAGUCUGCUCCAGCAAUGCCGCGUGCAGGAAGAAGGCCUUCGGUUUGUAAACUGCUUUUGUCAGGGAAGAAAUCCUCUAGGUUAAUACCCUUGGGGGGAUGACGGUACCUGAAGAAUAAGCACCGGCUAACUACGUGCCAGCCGCCGCAGUAAGAC
rnacentral:rRNA from 1 species